CUGUACUAUCCUGUAACAGAACUGUGGGGACACAGGCAGAGAGCGUGAGCCGGGAAUGGAAAGACCGGUACAAGCGAGGUAGGAGAAGAGUUGGCAAAUCCGCUCUUUAAUCUGAAGACGUGAUGUGGACUGAAAAUAAGUAGGGAAGCACGUGAGCUGACUGUCAAGAAAAGCCGCUAUUGUUUGCAGGAUACUCGUACCGUAAACCGACACAGGUGGAUGAGGAGAGAAUCCUAAGGCCGACGGGAGAAGCAUUGUUAAGGAACUCGGCAAAAUGACUCCGUAACUUCGGGAGAAGGAGUGCCAGUAAGAUGGCCGCAGAGAAUUGGCCCAAGCAACUGUUUAGCAGAAACACAGGUCUAUGCAAAACCGAAAGGUGAGGUAUAUGGGCUGACGCCUGCCCGGUGCUGGAAGGUUAAGGGGAGAGGUUAGCGCAAGCGAAGCUUUGAACUUAAGCCCCAGUAAACGGCGGCCGUAACUAUAACGGUCCUAAGGUAGCGAAAUUCCUUGUCGGGUAAGUUCCGACCCGCACGAAAGGCGUAAUGAUUUGGGCACUGUCUCAACAAUGCACCCGGUGAAAUUGAAAUACCAGUGAAGAUGCUGGUUACCUGCGCCAGGACGGAAAGACCCCAUGGAGCUUUACUCCAGCUUGAUACUGGGAUUCGGUAUUGCAUGUACAGGAUAGGUGGGAGGCUAGGAAAUGGUAACGCCAGUUGCCAUGGAGCCAAUGUUGGGAUACCACCCUUGCAGUACUGGGUUUCUAACCAGCAGCCGUGAUCCGGCUGGGGGACAAUGUCAGGUGGGGAGUUUGACUGGGGCGGUCGCCUCCGAAAGGGUAUCGGAGGCGCUCAAAGGUUCCCUCAGAAUGGUUGGAAACCAUUCGAAGAGUGCAAAGGCAGAAGGGAGCUUGACUGCGACACCGACGGGUGGAGCAGGUACGAAAGUAGGACUUAGUGAUCCGGUGGUAUAAAGUGGGAUUGCCAUCGCUCAACGGAUAAAAGCUACCCUGGGAUAACAGGCUUAUCACUCCCAAGAGUUCACAUCGACGGAGUGGUUUGGCACCUCGAUGUCGGCUCAUCGCAUCCUGGGGCUGAAGUAGGUCCCAAGGGUUGGGCUGUUCGCCCAUUAAAGCGGUACGCGAGCUGGGUUCAGAACGUCGUGAGACAGUUCGGUCCCUAUCCGGCGUGGGCGUAAGAUAUUUGAGAGGAGCUGUCCUUAGUACGAGAGGACCGGGAUGGACUGGCCGCUGGUGUAUCUGUUGUCUUACCAAAGGCAUAGCAGAGUAGCCAAGCCGGGAAGGGAUAAACGCUGAAGGCAUCUAAGCGUGAAGCCCCCCUCAAGAUGAGAUAUCUCAUAACGUCAAGUUAGUAAGACCCCUUGAAGACGACGAGGUAGAUAGGGCAGAGGUGGAAGUGUGGUAACACAUGGAGCUGACUGUUACUAAUAGGUCGAGGGCAUAACU
rnacentral:rRNA from 1 species